GACGAACCGUGCGAACGUUGUUCGGAAUCACUGGGCUUAAAGGGCGCGUAGGCGGGCUGUCAAGUCUGGGGUGAAAUGCCGCGGCUCAACCGUGGAACUGCCUCAGAUACUGACGGCCUCGAGGGAGGUAGGGGCGUGCGGAACUGUAGGUGGAGCGGUGAAAUGCGUUGAUAUCUACAGGAACUCCGGUGGCGAAAGCGGCGCGCUGGACCUCUUCUGACGCUGAGGCGCGAAAGCUAGGGGAGCAAACGGG
rnacentral:rRNA from 2 species